AGGACGAACGCUGGCGGCGUGCUUAACACAUGCAAGUCGAACGAGGUCCAACCCGUCGCAAGACGGGGGAAGACCUAGUGGCGAACGGGUGAGUAACACGUGAGGAACGUGCCCCGGAGACCGGGAUAACAGCGGGAAACCGCUGCUAAUACCGGAUACCUUCCUUUGAUCGCAUGAUCAGUUGAAGAAAUGGAUUCCGCUCCGGGAGCGCCUCGCGGUCUAUCAGUCUUGGUUGGUGGGGU
rnacentral:rRNA from 1 species